rnacentral:rRNA from 1 species
CAGCCGCCACGGUAAUACAGAGGUCUCAAGCGUUGUUCGGAUUCAUUGGGCGUAAAGGGAGCGUAAGCGGUCGGGUAAGUCGGAUGUGAAAUCCUGGGGCUCAACCUCAGAACUGCAUUCGAUACUGCUUGGCUAGAGGACUGGAGAGGUGAGUGGAAUUCACGGUGUAGCAGUGAAAUGCGUAGAUAUCGUGAGGAAGACCAGCGGCGAAGGCGGCUCACUGGACAGUUCCUGACGCUGAUGCUCGAAGGCCAGGGGAGCAAACGGGAUUAGAUACCCCCGUAGUCCCUGUCUCUUAUCC